rnacentral:rRNA from 1 species
GAUGAACGCUGGCGGCGUGCCUAAUACAUGCAAGUCGAGCGAACAGACGAGGAGCUUGCUCCUCUGACGUUAGCGGCGGACGGGUGAGUAACACGUGGAUAACCUACCUAUAAGACUGGGAUAACUUCGGGAAACCGGAGCUAAUACCGGAUAAUAUAUUGAACCGCAUGGUUCAAUAGUGAAAGACGGUUUUGCUGUCACUUAUAGAUGGAUCCGCGCCGCAUUAGCUAGUUGGUAAGGUAACGCCUUACCAAGGCGACGAUGCGUAGCCGACCUGAGAGGGUGACCGGCCACACUGGAACUGAGACACGGUCCAGACUCCUACGGGAGGCAGCAGUAGGGAAUCUUCCGGGAUGGGCGAAAGCGUGACGGAGCAACGCCGCGGGAGUGAUGAAGGUCUGCGGAUCGGAAAACUCUGUUAUUAGGGAAGAACAAAUGUGUAAGUAACUAUGCACGUCUUGACGGUACCUAAUCAGAAAACCACGGCUAACUACGUG